GUUUCAGCAACACCUGCUCGGUGUCUUCACACCUCUCGACUUCCCUGCCUAGUGCACAACAUGGAACGAGCGUCUGGUGAUCUGGUGCUGUCUAUGUAGGGAGCGAAGCGUUGAUUUGAGCCGCGGCCGUGAGACACUGUCUGACUGACCUGACCCAGGAGACGCUCGCAUAUUGAUGCAUUUGCUGGAGGACAUGUGCUGGAUUCCUGACGUGUGGAGAAUUACUGAGAGCUUCAGCUGCUGCUCUUCACUGGCUUCAUUCGCUAGAUCUACAAGCAUCAGAUCCGAGCAGAUUCACAGCUUCAGGUGCGUAAAACACCAGCGCAUAACCCAAUCAUGGACAACUCAGAUUCUGUUCAAUAAAAUUAAAUUGAAAUUCUGA
rnacentral:lncRNA from 12 species